AGUGAACGCUGGCGGUAGGCCUAACACAUGCAAGUCGAACGGCAGCACAGUAAGAGCUUGCUCUUACGGGUGGCGAGUGGCGGACGGGUGAGGAAUACAUCGGAAUCUACUUUUUCGUGGGGGAUAACGUAGGGAAACUUACGCUAAUACCGCAUACGACCUACGGGUGAAAGCAGGGGAUCUUCGGACCUUGCGCGAUUGAAUGAGCCGAUGUCGGAUUAGCUAGUUGGCGGGGUAAGGGCCCACCAAGGCGACGAUCCGUAGCCGGUCUGAGAGGAUGAUCAGCCACACUGGAACUGAGACACGGUCCAGACUCCUACGGGAGGCAGCAGUGGGGAAUAUUGGACAAUGGGCGCAAGCCUGAUCCAGCCAUACCGCGUGGGUGAAGAAGGCCUUCGGGUUGUAAAGCCCUUUUGUUGGGAAAGAAAAGCAGCAGGUUAAUACCCCGCUGUUCUGACGGUACCCAAAGAAUAAGCACCGGCUAACUUCGUG
rnacentral:rRNA from 1 species